UUCUUAAUGAAAUAAUUUUAAGUAACACCUGCUCAAUGAAAUUUCAAUAGCCGCAGAAUAUUUACUGUGCUAAGGUAGCAUAAUCAUUAGCCUCUUAAUUAGAGGCUCGUAUGAACGGUGAAACAUUUCAUCUUCUUUUUUUCCUAUUUUUUUUAAAAUUUAAUUAAGAGUAAAAAUGCUCUUAUUCUUAAUAUAGACGACAAGACCCUUUUGAACUUUACUGAAGUUUGGCUGGGGCAGCUUAUUAAUAAUCAUCUUUUUAUUUUUUGAUUCUUAAAUGACCCAAUAUUAUUGAUUAUUUGAACAAGUUACCAUAGGGAUAACAGCGUAAUUUCUUUUCAAAGUUCUUAUUUAAAAAGAAGAUUGCGACCUCGAUGUUGAAUUAAUGUAACUUUUUGAUGCAACAAUUUUAGGAGUAGGUCUGUUCGACCUUUAAAACAUUACAU
rnacentral:rRNA from 1 species